AGAGUUUGAUCCUGGCUCAGGAUGAACGCUGGCGGCGUGCUUAACACAUGCAAGUCGAACGAUGAUCCCAGCUUGCUGGGGGAUUAGUGGCGAACGGGUGAGUAACACGUGAGUAACCUGCCCUUAACUCUGGGAUAAGCCUGGGAAACUGGGUCUAAUACCGGAUAUGACUCCUCAUCGCAUGGUGGGGGGUGGAAAGCUUUAUUGUGGUUUUGGAUGGACUCGCGGCCUAUCAGCUUGUUGGUGAGGUAAUGGCUCACCAAGGCGACGACGGGUAGCCGGCCUGAGAGGGUGACCGGCCACACUGGGACUGAGACACGGCCCCGACUCCUACGGGAGGCAGCAGUGGGGAAUCUUGCGCAAUGGGCGAAAGCCUGACGCAGCGACGCCGCGUGCGGGAGGACGCUUUUCGGAGUGUAAACCGCUGUCGGGAGGGACGAACCGUGUCGGGAGGCAAUGCCCGACACCUGACGGUACCUUCAAAGGAAGCACCAGCUAACUCUGUGCCAGCAGCCGCGGUAAUACAGAGGGUGCGAGCGUCGUUCGGAAUUAUUGGGCGUAAAGCGCACGUAGGCGGCUCGUUAAGUCUGUCUGUGAAAGACCGGGGCUCAACCCCGGGGCUGCAGCGGAUACUGGCGAGCUUGAGACACGUAGAGGCUGGCGGAAUUCCGGGUGUAGCGGUGGAAUGCGUAGAGAUCCGGAAGAACACCGGUGGCGAAGGCGGCCAGCUGGGCGUGGUCUGACGCUGAGGUGCGAAGGCGUGGGGAGCGAACAGGAUUAGAUACCCCCGUAGUCC
rnacentral:rRNA from 1 species